rnacentral:lncRNA from 1 species
CUGGCAUUGAGAGCUGCACCCCAAGACACUGGCAAUUUCUGUGCUCUGGACACCAAUUCGUGACUCACAAUGCUAUCUCAUUGUGGCACCUGCUACUGUUUCCAUGCAUCAUGCACAGGCCCAGAUGGAAAGAUGGGGCCCAGGGGUGCAGUCCCACCUAACAUCUGAAAGGGACCUGAUGAAUGCCCACACAUCUUAUCGUCCUCCCAACCCUUCCCCACUCUACAUUCCAGCUUCUGACUUCACUCCCCUGCAUUCUCCUACUGGGGCCCCCUACAUCCACUCUACCACCCCCUACUGUCUUCUCCACACAGCCAACUUGCAAAACGGAAAUCUAUGUCCCUCCCCUGCCAAAGCCCCUCUGCCUUCCAGCCUCCGAGUGAAGGUUACCAUGCCACUCGUGACCUGGUUCCGCUAAGCCCUCAAGGUUCAUCUCUUGCCACCACCCUCCAUUUCCACGCUUUAUGAUGAACUACUCCUUCCAAGAUCUCAAACGGAGUCUUUGGCCUCUCUCGGCCAGACCUCACACUCGCUAUCCCCCAAUGAGGCUGGUCUAUACUCCUUGUCCCGACAUGGCUGGCUCUAUUGUCUUUCAGGCAGAUGUCACUUCGCCCAGGAAGCCCUCCCUCUAAGACCUUUCAUCUGUGUUCUCAUGUCAUCUUUCCUCCCUACUGGCACUCUUGAGCACCACACAGAUUCCUAAUUUCCUAACUACCUAUUGGUGGUCCUCACAGAACUAGAACCACGUGGAGAUUGGCGGUUGUAUGUAUCUUAUUUACCAGCUGGUUCUGUGCAGGUGCGAGGACCCAGCUUUGUUUUUUUACCAGCUGAAUCACCUUGAACACUCAUUGGACCUCACUAAACCUCAAUUGACUCAGCUGUGAAAAACCUUCAGGCCUGGCUUGGGGUACCUUCCUGUACAGCUCAUGGGAAAGGAGAGGAGGGAUGAGCAGAUUCCCUGGGUCCUGCCGGCUUUACUGACUUUGGUUAUUAAGAAGAUAAUAUUCUGACAUUUCAGCCACCAAGGAAGAUGGGGAACAAACACACCGCCUAGAACCAACCUUGCUGCUCAAGGAAACAGCUCAGAGAACAGGACACUCCCCGGGGACAAUGUGUACCUGAGCUCAGCGAUGCUUUGCAUUUAAUUAAACACACUUACCGCUCAAGAGCAAUUUCAUCAGCUUAAUCAUCUUACACGAAAAUUAAUUUUGCUCCCACUAAAGGCCCUGGAACAAUUAUGUAUGGAACCUUCCAUCACAGAUUAAGCUUAUCUUCAGCCCAAUUAUUUCUUUAUUUUCAAACCG